rnacentral:tRNA from 1 species
CUGGGUGUAGCUCAGCUUGAUAAGAGUACUCCGCCUGGAACGGAGAGGCCGCAGGUUUAAAUCCUGCCACCCAGACCA